rnacentral:rRNA from 1 species
UACGGAGGGAGCUAGCGUUGUUCGGAAUUACUGGGCGUAAAGCGCACGUAGGCGGAUUGCUAAGUCAGGGGUGAAAAUCCCUGGGAGCUCAACUCCAGAACUGUCCUUUAGAUACUGGAGAUCUCGAGUCCGGAAGAGGUGAGUGGAACUCCGAGUGUAGAGGUGAAAAUUCGUAGAUAUUCGGGAAGAAACACCAGUGGCGAAGGCGGCUCACUGGUCCGGUACUGACGCUGAGGUGACGAAAGCGGUGGGGAGCAAACAG